rnacentral:rRNA from 1 species
CUUCAUGACUGGGGUGAAGUCGUAACAAGGUAGCCGUAGGGGAACCUGUGGCUGGAUCACCUCCUU